rnacentral:rRNA from 1 species
UACGUAGGUGGCAAGCGUUGUCCGGAAUUACUGGGCGUAAAGCGUGCGCAGGCGGUUGUGCAAGUCAGAUGUGAAAUCCCCGGGCUUAACCUGGGAACUGCAUUUGUGACUGCACGGCUAGAGUGCGGCAGAGGGGGAUGGAAUUCCGCGUGUAGCAGUGAAAUGCGUAGAUAUGCGGAGGAACACCGAUGGCGAAGGCAAUCCCCUGGGCCUGCACUGACGCUCAUGCACGAAAGCGUGGGGAGCAAACAGG